GAUGAACGCUGGCGGCGUGCCUAACACAUGCAAGUCGAACGGCAGCACGGGAAGCUUUUUUCUUUACGGUUAGCGGUGGCCGGGGGGGUAAUAACUCGAUAGUAACCUACUCCUUCCUGGUGGAUAACGGCAUGACACUGACGCUAAUACGUGAUAUUUUGUACCGGUUGAAUCAAGGGUUCUUGAAAGCUUUCGUGUCUGUUUGAGCUGGUCUCGUGUCGGCUUAGCUUGGUGGUAGGGGCACGGCCUACCAAGGAGACGAUGCGUAGCCGACCUGAGAGGGUGAUCGGCCACACUGGAACUGAGACACGGUCCAGACUCCUACGGGAGGCAGCAGUAGGGAAUAUUGUGCAAUGGGCGAAAGCCUGAUGAAGCAACGCCGCGUGGGGGAGGAAGGUCUUCGGAUCGUAAAGCUCUUUUAUUGGGGAAGAACAUAGGCGGAAUUAUCUGUGGAUGUCUUGACGGUACCUAAAUAGAAAGCCCCGGCUAACUACGUG
rnacentral:rRNA from 1 species